AGACAAGCAGAGUCACAAUCAUGAAUUACGUCAGCCACUGUAGACAAGCAGUCACAAUCAUGAAUUACGUCAGCCACUGUAGACAAGCAGAGUCACAAUCAUGAAUUACGUCAGCCACUGUAGACAAGCACAGUCACAAUCAUGAAUUACGUCAGCCACUGUAGACAAGCAGUCACAAUCAUGAAUUACGUCAGCCACUGUAGACAAGCAGAGUCACAAUCAUGAAUUACGUCAGCCACUGUAGACAAGCAGAGUCACAAUCAUGAAUUACGUCAGCCACUGUAGACAAGCAGUCACAAUCAUGAAUUACGUCAGCCACUGUAAACAAGCAGAGUCACAAUCAUGAAUUACGUCAGCCACUGUAGACAAGCAGUCACAAUCAUGAAUUACGUCAGCCACUGUAGACAAGCAGUCACAAUCAUGAAUUACGGUCAGCCACUGUAGACAAGCAGAGUCACAAUCAUGAAUUACGGUCAGCCACUGUAGACAAGCAGUCACAAUCAUGAAUUACGGUCAGCCACUGUAGACAAGCAGUCACAAUCAUGAAUUACGUCAGCCACUGUAGACAAGCAGAGUCACAAUCAUGAAUUACGUCAGCCACUGUAGACAAGCACAGUCACAAUCAUGAAUUACGUCAGCCACUGUAGACAAGCAGUCACAAUCAUGAAUUACGUCAGCCACUGUAGACAAGCAGAGUCACAAUCAUGAAUUACGUCGACAAAUCUACUGCCAAAUCCUUUUCAAUCGUUGUUAUAUGAAGACAAAUGACAGAUUAAACAUAUGUCAUCGACCAUUGGACAUAAACAUUACACAACAAGUCAUAAAUCGCAAAUUAAACAAUGAGUGGUUUGGAAGGAAUCAGUGGCUAACUGCAAGUGUUGGUAAAGCAAUCACUAU